rnacentral:tRNA from 1 species
UAUGGCCAUAGAACAUGUCGUAUUUGUCGGUGCUCUGCCGACGAACUUUGGCGUCAAAGUUCAGGCCGCCGGUGCUGAAUCCCCCGGCUUUGA